AUUGAACGCUGGCGGCAUGCCUUACACAUGCAAGUCGAACGGCAGCACGGGAGCAAUCCUGGUGGCGAGUGGCGAACGGGUGAGUAAUAUAUCGGAACGUGCCCAGUCGUGGGGGAUAACGUAGCGAAAGCUACGCUAAUACCGCAUACGAUCUAUGGAUGAAAGCGGGGGAUCGCAAGACCUCGCGCGAUUGGAGCGGCCGAUAUCAGAUUAGGUCGUUGGUGAGGUAAAGGCUCACCAAGCCGACGAUCUGUAGCUGGUCUGAGAGGACGACCAGCCACACUGGGACUGAGACACGGCCCAGACUCCUACGGGAGGCAGCAGUGGGGAAUUUUGGACAAUGGGCGCAAGCCUGAUCCAGCAAUGCCGCGUGCAGGAUGAAGGCCUUCGGGUUGUAAACUGCUUUUGUACGGAACGAAACGGUGAGCUCUAAUACAGUUUGCUAAUGACGGUACCGUAAGAAUAAGCACCGGCUAACUACGUG
rnacentral:rRNA from 1 species